rnacentral:rRNA from 1 species
GACGAACGCUGGCGGCGUGCCUAAUACAUGCAAGUUGAGCGCUGAAGGUUGGUACUUGUACCAACUGGAUGAGCAGCGAACGGGUGAGUAACGCGUGGGGAAUCUGCCUUUGAGCGGGGGACAACAUUUGGAAACGAAUGCUAAUACCGCAUAAAAACUUUAAACACAAGUUUUAAGUUUGAAAGAUGCAAUUGCAUCACUCAAAGAUGAUCCCGCGUUGUAUUAGCUAGUUGGUGAGGUAAAGGCUCACCAAGGCGAUGAUACAUAGCCUACCUGAGAGGGUGAUCGGCCACAUUGGGACUGAGACACGGCCCAAACUCCUACGGGAGGCAGCAGUAGGGAAUCUUCGGCAAUGGACGAAAGUCUGACCGAGCAACGCCGCGUGAGUGAAGAAGGUUUUCGGAUCGUAAAACUCUGUUGGUAGAGAAGAACGUUGGUGAGAGUGGAAAGCUCAUCAAGUGACGGUAACUACCCAGAAAGGGACGGCUAACUACGUG